rnacentral:tRNA from 1 species
GCCCCGUUGGCGGAACUGGUAGACGCAUCCGGCUCAAACCCGGAUUCCUGACGGAGUGGGGGUUCGAAUCCCUCAUGGGGCACUA